rnacentral:rRNA from 1 species
AAGCCUGCGGUUUAAUUGGAGUCAACGCCGGAAACCUUACCGGGGGCGACAGCAGGAUGAAGGCCAGAUUGAAGGUCUUGCCAGACAAGCUGAGAGGAGGUGCAUGGCCGUCGCCAGUUCGUGCCGUGAGGUGUCCUGUUAAGUCAGGCAACGAUCGAGACCCGCGCCCCCUGUUGCUACCGGCCUUGAGCCGGGCACACUGGGGGGACUGCCGCCGAUAAGGCGGAGGAAGGAGCGGGCCACGGCAGGUCAGUAUGCCCCGAAUCCCCCGGGCCACACGCGAGCUGCAAUGGCAGGUACAACUGGGUUCCGACCCCGAAAGGGGGAGGCAAUCCCUAAACCCUGCCGUAGUUG